rnacentral:rRNA from 1 species
UACAGAGGGUGCAGGCGUUGUUCGGAAUUAUUGGGCGUAAAGCGCGUGUAGGCGGCUUUGCAAGUCGGGUGUGAAAGCCCUCAGCUCAACUGAGGAAGUGCGCCCGAAACUGCAGAGCUUGAGUGCCGGAGAGGGUGGCGGAAUUCCCCAAGUAGAGGUGGAAAUUCGUAAGAUAUGGGGAGGAACACCGGUGGCGAAGGCGGC